GGGGGUGUGGCUCAGAGGUAGAGUGCAUGCUUUGCAUGUAUAAGGCCCCCGGUUCGAUACCCGGCACCCCCG